UUUGGAUUUCCAGCCCAUCUGACCGCAAACUCAAAUACUAACUCCUUUUCAUUGGAAUCAUAUACUUUCAUACCAUGCAAUCUAGGAGGAAUUGUUCCAAGAGUAAGUUUCUCAAACUCGAUAGAUUUUAUCUGAUAUUUGCCAAUAUACUCUGCAAAAAUAGGUUCGGAUGUGCUUUUAAUAAUUCCACAAAUUGCCUUGUCAAGAUAAGGCCACAUAUUAGCUAUAAAAUCAUUGAACCAGUUAACCCGCUCAUAGUCUGGAUUCAUCACCCAUAAGGGAAGUUCAGGUAGAAGAUCAACUAACGUGUUUGGCUCAAUUUCAUCAAAUGCUGUACUUUCUGGAUAAUCCUUAACAUCUGUGGGCUCAAAGUAUAUGAACAAAAAAUACCCCACAAUCAAACCAAUCGAAAUUCCAACUCCAAAACCAAGAAUUCCUAAUAAACUUCCAAGAAUCCCCAUUUUCUUUAAUCAUUCAAAAAAAUCAACAAACCCCAUUUAUUAUCAAUAUAUAAAG
rnacentral:misc_RNA from 1 species